GGCUCAGGAUGAACGCUGGCGGCGUGCUUAACACAUGCAAGUCGAACGAUGAACUCCAGCUUGCUGGGGGGAUUAGUGGCGAACGGGUGAGUAACACGUGAGCAACCUGCCCUGGACUCUGGGAUAAGCGCUGGAAACGGCGUCUAAUACUGGAUAUGAGCCUCUAUCGCAUGGUGGGGGUUGGAAAGAUUUUUUGGUCUGGGAUGGGCUCGCGGCCUAUCAGCUUGUUGGUGAGGUAAUGGCUCACCAAGGCGUCGACGGGUAGCCGGCCUGAGAGGGUGACCGGCCACACUGGGACUGAGACACGGCCCAGACUCCUACGGGAGGCAGCAGUGGGGAAUAUUGCACAAUGGGCGGAAGCCUGAUGCAGCAACGCCGCGUGAGGGAUGACGGCCUUCGGGUUGUAAACCUCUUUUAGCAAGGAAGAAGCGAGAGUGACGGUACUUGCAGAAAAAGCGCCGGCUAACUACGUGCCAGCAGCCGCGGUAAUACGUAGGGCGCAAGCGUUAUCCGGAAUUAUUGGGCGUAAAGAGCUCGUAGGCGGUUUGUCGCGUCUGCUGUGAAAUCCCGAGGCUCAACCUCGGGCCUGCAGUGGGUACGGGCAGACUAGAGUGCGGUAGGGGAGAUUGGAAUUCCUGGUGUAGCGGUGGAAUGCGCAGAUAUCAGGAGGAACACCGAUGGCGAAGGCAGAUCUCUGGGCCGUAACUGACGCUGAGGAGCGAAAGGGUGGGGAGCAAACAGGCUUAGAUACCCUGGUAGUCCACCCCGUAAACGUUGGGAACUAGUUGUGGGGUCCU
rnacentral:rRNA from 1 species